rnacentral:lncRNA from 1 species
UUGGUGUACGUCACAUGUCAAAGGAGGGGAAUGUCAGAUGUUCUAGAGGUGACGCACUCGGCUAGCAAGGAGCUCCGGGUUAAAGACGAUGGUGGCUGACGGUCAUAAUCUGCUCGUUGAGGAGGUCAUCCACCGUCAUGCAUAUUCUUAGCUUCGGAAGAACUUGGUGUUAUUUGAUUUGGUUCCAUUCGAUUUGAUUUGGUAGUUAUGUUGGUGUUAAAUAAUCGGUCACAUCAUUUGUUUGGCAGGUCUUUACUCCAAUGGAGUCAUUGCCAAUUGAAGUAGGAGAGAAAGAAAAAAAUACAUAAUUGCAUAUCUGGGCUUAGUUACAAUGAUUCCAUGUGUUCUUGAUCUUCAGAUAUGACUUACUUCUAUAUAUACUUUUCUUGGUGGUGGAACAUAACUAGAAC